rnacentral:rRNA from 1 species
AAUGAACGUUGGCGGCGUGGAUUAGGCAUGCAAGUCGCGCGAGAAAUUUCUUUCGGGAGAUGGACAGCGGCGGAAGGGAGAGGACAAGGUAGAAAUCUACCCUCGGGACGGGGAUAGCGGCGGGAAACUGCCGGUAAUACCCGAUAACAUCUUCGGAUCAAAGGUGUGAUUCCGCCUGGGGAUGAGUCUACUUCCUAUUAGCUUGUUGGCGGGGUAACGGCCCACCAAGGCAACGAUGGGUAGCGGGUGUGAGAGCAUGACCCGCCUCACUGGGACUGAGAACUGCCCAGACACCUACGGGUGGCUGCAGUCGAGAAUCUUCGGCAAUGGGCGCAAGCCUGACCGAGCGACGCCGCGUGCGGGAUGAAGGCCUUCGGGUUGUAAACCGCUGUCGUAGGGGAACAAAUGUAAGGGGGUUCUCCCCUUUACUUGAGUGAUCCUAGGAGGAAGGACGGGCUAAGUUCGUG